rnacentral:rRNA from 1 species
AUUGAACGCUGGCGGCAGGCCUAACACAUGCAAGUCGAGCGGUAGAGAGGUGCUUGCAUCUCUUGAGAGCGGCGGACGGGUGAGUAAUGCCUAGGAAUCUGCCUAGUGGUGGGGGAUAACGUUCGGAAACGGACGCUAAUACCGCAUACGUCCUACGGGAGAAAGCGGGGGGAGUCUUCGGACCUCGCGCCAUUAGAUGAGCCUAGGUCGGAUUAGCUAGUUGGUGAGGUAAUGGCUCACCAAGGCGACGAUCCGUAACUGGUCUGAGAGGAUGAUCAGUCACACUGGAACUGAGACACGGUCCAGACUCCUACGGGAGGCAGCAGUGGGGAAUAUUGGACAA